UUGUUUACAGCAUCUUCUGGCCCCCAAGGGAUAGUAAAUAACCAUGCUUUCUCCCAUGAUUCAUCGGUGUCUGGUUUCCAGCCUUUUGUGAGGUCUAAUUUUGUCCAGGGAUCUGAUAUUUCUGCUGAAAAAAGGAGUUCUAGGGACACUCUCUCCGAUUUUGCCUCAUCUUCUAAACCGAGCAAUGGCCAGGAUAUAAAGGCUGCACCAAACCUGCAAUCAGGUUCUGUAAAAUCUGAAGUUAUAGAAAAGGAAGAAGGUGAAUGGUCUGAUGGAGAGGGAUCUGGUGAUGCUUGCAGAACAAGUAUUAUUCACGAAAACUC
rnacentral:lncRNA from 1 species